GGAAGAAAGUCCAGGAAGGAUUGCUUGUCUGUCCAGUGUAAUCCUCAUCAGUCAGUGGCCAGCUGACAGCUGGAUUCUGUAUUCUUGGGAACAGAUUCAGGGCUCCUGGACCUGAGCACAGGUCUCUGAGGGAGACCCAGCAUGCCCCACCCUGCACUUCAGAGACUCCUGCCAUUUGGGAAAACACUGGUAUCAAGUACUUCACACUUCCUUCAGAAGUUGCAAAUUAAGCUAAAUCUGUGCAAGUCACUUCACUGCAGGGGUAUCGGGGGAGUUCACUGAUAUCAUUGCACUGAUGUAAUUAUCGCUAGCAUUAGUACAACUAUC